AAUAGCAACAAGGAAGACUAAGAAAACAAAACACCAUUUUACCAAGAUAAUACUUUAAAAACCAGUAACACUUUUCUCAUUUAAUAUUCUGCAGUCUUUUACCUGAAGCUGUCUUGUAGCAGUAUGUAAAACAUUUCUCAUAGCUCAAAGGUUUUGAAAAUAAUCAAAAUGUUAUAGAAUUAUAUGAAUAAUAGUGGUACAUGGAUAUUUUGUGACAUUUUUUGUGACAAUGGCUAAAUGCAUAUAUUAGGAAAAAUUAUGGGGAAAAGAAGAGAAUAUAAUUACUAAUAAACCACUCCAUUAUGUUUCAGGAGAUUAUCUGGUUUUGACUUCAAAGCAAGCUAAUGAUCCAGGAUACAUCAAGUAUUCAAAUUUAAGAUUCUCUUCACAUGAAAUCAUUAACAAGGAACUUCCUCUGGACUUCCACAAGCAUCAAGCAUGGAAACAGUCUGAGGACCAAGCUGACUAACACAGGAAUAACCAUUAUUCCCAGUAGUUACAAGAGGAAAAGAAUAAAGGGAAGGAGAAGGACCUAGAGGAAAACCCAUUUCUAACAGUCAUGAAGCAAGAACAAACAUAUUAACCAUGGAAGGAAACUUACCUGCUCCCAUUUCAUUUCCAGCCCUUGGAAUAAUAUCAUCAUCUU